rfam:Schistosoma rodhaini strain Burundi genome assembly, scaffold: SROB_scaffold0006049
AUUCAGAUGACGAGUCCCGAAUAGGAGGAAACUCGCGUCCUGAAU